UAAAACGUAGGAGGCAAGCGUUAUCCGGAUUUACUGGGCGUAAAGCGCGCGCAGGCGGCUCUGUAAGUCGGACGUGAAAGCCCCCGGCUCAACUGGGGGAGGCCGCUCGAUACUGCAGGGCUUGAGGUCGGGAGAGGGAAGUGGAAUUCCCGGUGUAGUGGUGAAAUGCGUAGAUAUCGGGAGGAACACCAGUGGCGAAGGCGGCUUCCUGGCCCGCACCUGACGCUAAGGCGCGAAAGCGUGGGUAGCGAACGGGAUUAGAUACCCCGGUAGUCCACGCCCUAAACGAUGGCAACUAGGUGUUGGGGGCUAUUGACCCCCUCAGUGCCGAAGCUAACGCGAUAAGUUGCCCGCCUGAGGACUACGAGCGCAAGCUUA
rnacentral:rRNA from 1 species